rnacentral:pre_miRNA from 1 species
UGGUUUUGUCCUAAGUCAAACUUCUCCAACUUUGAUUAUAUUUCUAGAAAAAAAAUAUUACCAUCUACAAGUUCAAAUAUAUGCUCCACGAAAACACAUUCCAUGGAGAAUUCAAUGAAAUCUGUGUGAUGUUAUAGAUGCUGAUGCAUUUUUCUAUAAACUAGGUCAAAGUUGAAAAGGUUUGACUUUUGGAACAGAGGGAG